GAACGCGUCCCUGGGGCCUUCACCCUGUCGUGAACAAAGCACGACUAUUUUGUAAAGGGAAGAUCAAAGAGCCAGAAGUCGCGGAUGAGUGUGUGGCAGGUGGGGACUCAGAGUGACAGUGGCCAUGCGGUGUGUCCCGUGGUCGCCCCAGAGGCGGAUGGGCCAGGCCGCUGCACAUACCCUGGGAGGAGGCAGGUGGGGAGGGAACCCGAGGACCCUGCCUAUGUUCACCCCUCUGUUCCUCUCUGGGACCCACUAUGGCUGGAAGGGACUUUUUCCUUCUCCCCCCACCCCUCCCCUCCUCACCUUCCCUCCCCCUGCUUUUUAAUUUCUUCCCUUUUGCAAGGCUUUUUGUCCAGCUGGGGCUGGGAAGAAGAUGCCCCCGACCCCCUCUCGUGGUCGCCAGGGUAGGGGUGGGAGGAAUCUGGAAGCCACGUGCGAUGCUCGGAGCUGCGUCCUCUGUCCUGGGGCGUGGGUCCGCGAGCGCCGCGCAGCCUCCCGGACCGCCCUGAGCUGCUGCGCCCGGCGCUGCUCCUCCUUCCCCAGCUCCGCGCCUUCCCCUCGCGAUCCCCCUCCUGCCUCUUCGGUCCUGGAAGCGUCCCAAGAUGGGGUGGGGGCAUGGAGGGAGAGAGGGGAGGAGGGAGCUGCCCGGGGGCAGUGCCGCCAGGAAGUGGGACGGGGACUCUGGCGCCCCUCCAGGCUGCUGCGCGCGGGCUGGGGACCGUGCACCGCUUUGCGCGCCAGACGAUGCAUCUUCUGGAACGGCAGCUGAGGCAAUGCGGGGUGUGAAGUGGCGGCGGGCAGAGGGGCUCGCAGGGGCUGGGAUCCGCGUGCCCCUCUCUGCCUCGGUGCGGAGCACGAUGUGCCCGGGCGGGGGCGAGGACGUCCGGGAGGGGCUGGGCUGCGCACGCUCGCGGGGCCGUCGCAGAUGGGCGGUUUGGAGGCGCUGCAGUCCCUGGGAAAUGGGAGCCUCCGUCCUGUUCUCUCUGCUGCUUGGCUGGGCUGGGCUGGGCAGGGCAGGAAAGCCAGGGUCCCCACCCCUCCUGGAGCAGAGCACUCCGCGCUGGCUGUUCCGGGGGCCCGGGAGGGCAGAGCUGUCAGAAGGUCUGUCUGGCAUCAUUAGGGGAGCUGUCUGUCUCUCUAUCCCUGGCUGGCGUGGCCCGGCAGGAGGCGAGGCUGAUAUUUUCAGGAGACCUGGUGAUUUGACCUGACACCUGUCAGUCAGGUAAGCGCUGGCCUCCUGCCUGCAUCCCCCUGGGGAAGAGCCGGUUCUGCUCCCUGACCGGGAACGGGUCCCUCAGUGCUGAGGAUGGCAGUUAAUGAGCCCGCCGAGGGGCUGCCCACCGGGUGCACAGGCAGGAGCAGUGGGCAUAUCCCCUGCUUGCCAGGCCCUGCAGAGGGGCUGCCUUCUCCCCCAAUGCCUUCUGCCCCCUUCUAGUGUCUCCAACAUUGACCCUGGAAAUCACUUUCUUGCUUCUCUUAUCAGGAUAGUCCUACAUGUCUGGAACUUUCUGGGAUGUUCUCUGUGCCUUGGAAGUGUUUAUUUAUUACUUUAAAAUCACCUUUAGGGUCUUUAUCCUUAAAGAUAAAGCCAGUACCUAGAACCAGGUGUCCUUCCCGCAGGGCUUUAGGCCCUACCUGACUUGGGUUCUCAGUCAACCCUUUCCUUCCCUGUGUAACGUGGGUUUUGGCUUUUGCGGAAGUAAUCUGUUAUGGUCUAAAUUGUGUCCUCCCCAAAUCCAUAUAUUAAAUCCCUAAGCCCCUGGCUGGGCGUGGUGGCGAGCACCUGUAAUCUCAGCACUUUGGGAGGCCGAGUUGGGGGCGAUCACCUGAGGUCAGAAUUUCGAGACCAGCCUGGCCAACAUGGUGAAACCCCGUCUCUACUAAAAAUACAAAAAUCAGCGGGGAGUGGUGGUGGCUGCCUGUAAUCCCAGCUACUCCAGAAGCUGAGGCUGGAGAAUCACUUGAACCCGGGAAGCAGAGGUUGCGGUGAGCUGAGAUCGCGCCAUUGCAUUCCAACCUGGGGGACAACAGCGACACUCUGUCUCAAAAAAAUAGAUAAAUAAAAUAAAAAUAAAAUAAAUCCCGAAGCCCCAGUAUCUCAGGAUAUGAUUGUAUUUGGAGAUACAGCCUUCUAUGACCUUCUAUAACCUCAGUCCCCAACCUUUUUGGCACCAGGGACUGGUUUCGUGGAAGGCAAUUUUUCCACGGACCCGGGUGGGGUGGGGGGUGGUUUCGAGGUGAUGCAAGCACGUUACAUUGAUCGUGCACUUUAUUUCUGUUGUUAUUACAUUGUAAUAUAUAAUGAAAUAAUUAUACAUUUCAUCAUAAUGUAGAAUCAGAGGGACCCUGAGCUUGUUUUCCUGCAACUAGAUGGUCCCAUCUGGGGGUGAUGGGAGACAGUGACAGAUCAUCAGGCCUUGGAUUCUCAUAAGAAGCACGCAACCUAGAUCCCUCACAUGUGCCGUUCACAACAGGUUUCAUGCUCUUGUGCACAUCCAAUGGUUCCUAAAGGGCCACAGACCGGUACUGGUCCUUGGCCCAGGGGUUGAGGACCCCUGUUCUAUAAGGUCGGGAGAGAGGCCUCAGAAGAAACCAACCCUGCCGAGACACCUUGAUCUCAGACUUCAGCCUCCAGAACUGCGCGGUGAUGCGUUCCUGUUGAAGGCACUCUGACCGCAGUGGCUUGCCGUGGCAGCCCUCGACAACAAAUACAGGGUCUGUUGAACCAAAUGAAUCCAAAAUGUAUGCCCAAAGAUAGCCGCCAGGUCUAUGAAAACACCUGCUCUGAUAUGAGGGGACGUGGACCACAGAGGUGAGUGCUGGAAUUCAAGUUGGUCUCCUUAGUCAUUCUCCUGCCCCACGCCCCCUGCCCCUGUAACAGUUACAUUGUCUUAAAUCGUACUCGUUUAAAAAGGUAUUUACACAACAGAUCAACAUUUAAGUACAUGUUUAAAAGCAAUUAUGAAUGUGCUCACCUGUCAGGGCAGGAUGGUUUUGCUCAUGUGUUUCCAGUUGGUUGGGUAAAUAAUCAGCUCGGGUGUUGUUUUGUUUUACACCUACCCCCUACUGUAAUUGUGUGUUUACUUUUAUGAUAACGUCACAUCACUCUCAUAUUUAACUACUAGCAGGGAUUAAGUUAUUCCAAUAAAAGACAGAGAAAUAAAUUUCAGACCCUGUUUCCUGCCUAUCCCCACCCCCAUCGUUCAAAAAUUGGACAAUUUUCCAAGAUGAUCGGAAGCAGUUUUGAGCAUUUGGAAGCCAUGGAUGCCCUGGCCCGUGGCAGUGUUUUUCAACAGUAACCCACUUGCCGAUAAGGUCUCCCUGUGUGGGGUCAAAGGAUGUGGCCCCUGCCAUCCUUGUGGUCACUAGGGAGGGUACAGGCCUGUGUGCCACACCCCAGCCUAACUCCUCCUGGGGCCUGGGCAGUUUUGAUCACUAAGUCCUGACUCUGCCAUGGAAGAGGCAUCUUCUGGGCGGACACUGAUGUUCAGUGGCCUCCAGGGGACUUGGCGGGUCCCCUUGACACACUGGAGGCUCCCUGGCUAGAUUCCCCUCCCAGACACCCUCAUUCCUGUAUCUCCAGGACUGGAGAGGCCUGCUGGCCAUCCAGGAGGAUGUUUCUGUUGUCGGGCAGAUGGUCAGCCCCAUGCAGAGGAUGGGAAAGCUUCACCUGCCACAGUUGUGAUUCUCUGGCCUCAGCCUCCCGAGUAGCUGGGACUACAGGCAUGCACCACCACAUCCGGCUAAUGUUUGUAUUUUUAGCAGAGAUGGGGUUUCACCAUAUUGGCCAGGCUGGUCUUGAACUCAAGAUGAUUCGCCCAACACAGCCUCUCAAAGUGCUGGGAUUACAGUCUCCGGUAUGUCAUUAUCAGCAGUGUGAAAAUGGACUCACUCCCACCCUGUCUGGAUCUGGACAAGAGCCCACCACCCCGUUGGCAGUAGUCAGGCAGCUCUGCUUCUAAGAACCUGCAGCUUUUGGAAGAAAGGCACCCUGUGGUUUCAGAAGCCCAAGAGUCCCUGCAGCUCAGCACCCCCAGCCUGGUGCUUGGCAGAUGACUGCCUCCUCACUUAGCAGAGGGAGCAGAAAACUGUGUAUUCUUCAGAACAUCAUGAUAACCUGGCACUCAUGGGUCUAUGGAGAGAAUUCAGGGGGUCUGGGAGCUUGGAUGGAAUAAAUUUGCAUCUUUAUUUUCAGGAAAGUUUUACUGAAGUUUAGCAUUUUCUUUCAUUAUAAAUGGAAUCAGUAUAACCCAAUAGUAUGAGCAGUUACUUCUCCGCAACAUCAAAGUGGCUGCAGAUAUCUCAAAAUAGUAUUUACAUUUAUCAUAACUUAGAAAUUUGGGUGGUAAUUAAACCAGCAACUAUUCUUUGUUUAAUGCAUUAAGAAAGAAGUAUGUAUACUAUCAUAUCUCAAUUAAAAAUAUUUUAAGAACUGGA
ensembl:lncRNA novel transcript